GAUGUAGUGCAAUGAAUAGCACGUUGAACUUCAAAUCCAAACGUCGUUGGUUCGAAUCCGACCUGAGAUG